UCAAGCGACUAAGUGUAUGUGGUGGAUGCCUUGGCGAUUACAGGCGAAGAAGGACGUCGCAGCCUGCGAAAAGCCGUGGGGAGCUGGCAAGCGAGCACUGAUCCACGGAUGUCCGAAUGAGGGAACUCACCCGCAAGGGUAUCUUGAAGUGAAUACAUAGCUUCAAGAGGCGAACGCAGCGAACUGAAACAUCUAAGUAGCUGCAGGAAAAGAAAUCAACCGAGAUUCUGAAAGUAGCGGCGAGCGAAAUUGGAAGAGCCUGCAAGUGAUAUUGAAUUCGAUACUGGAACGGUCUGGAAAGUCCGGCUACAGAGGGUGACAGCCCCGUACGGGAAAUUGGGUUCAAGGUACUGAGCUUGCGAGAAGUAGAGCGGGACACGUGAAAUCCUGCUCGAAGAUGGGGGGACCAUCCUCCAAGGCUAAAUACUCGUAAUCGACCGAUAGCGAACCAGUACUGUGAAGGAAAGGCGAAAAGAACCCCGGGAGGGGAGUGAAAUAGAUCCUGAAACCGCAUACAUACAAACAGUAGGAGCCCGCAAGGGUGACUGCGUACCUUUUGCAUAAUGGGUCAGCGACUUACGUUCAAUGGCAAGCUUAACCGAGUAGGGGAGGCGCAGCGAAAGCGAGUCCGAACAGGGCGAUAUGAGUCGUUGGGCGUAGACCCGAAACCAGAUGAUCUAUCCAUGGCCAGGCUGAAGGUGUGGUAACACACACUGGAGGGCCGAACCGACUAGUGUUGCAAAAUUAGCGGAUGAGCUGUGGAUAGGGGUGAAAGGCUAAACAAAUCUGGAGAUAGCUGGUUCUCCCCGAAAACUAUUGAGGUAGUGCCUCGUGUAUGGCUCCAGGGGGUAGAGCACUGUUAUGGCUAGGGGGACAUGGCGUCUUACCAAACCAUGGCAAACUCCGAAUACUUGGAAGUCUGAGCACGGGAGACAGAGCACCGGGUGCUAACGUCCGGACUCAAAAGGGAAACAACCCAGACCGCCGGCUAAGGUCCCUAAUAUUGACUAAGUGGAAAACGAAGUGGGAAGGCUAAGACAGUCAGGAAGUUGGCUUAGAAGCAGCCAUCCUUCAAAGAAAGCGUAAUAGCUCACUGAUCGAGUCUUCCUGCGCGGAAGAUGUAACGGGGCUAAGUCAAUAACCGAAGCCGCGGAUUCGCAGCAAUGCGAGUGGUAGGGGAGCGUUCUGUAAGCCUGCGAAGGCGGAUCCGCGAGGACCGCUGGAGGUAUCAGAAGUGCGAAUGCUGACAUGAGUAACGUUAAAGCGGGUGAAAAGCCCGCUCGCCGCAAGCCCAAGGUUUCCUGCUCUACGUUCAUCGGAGCAGGGUGAGUCGGCCCCUAAGGUCAGGCUGAGAAGCGUAGCUGAUGGGAAGCUGGUUAAUAUUCCAGCACCGAUUUCAAGUGCGAAGGGGGGACGGAGUCCUGAAGGUCAUCCGGGUGUUGGACAUCCCGGUUUACGAGCGUAGGAGGUUGACAGGCAAAUCCGUCAACGAAUCUCCAAGGCGAAGGAUCGAGGUUGAGAGAUCAACUGAAGUGACUGAAUGGGCUUCCAGGAAAAGCCUCUAAGCAUCAGCUUGGAAUUGACCGUACCGCAAACCGACACUGGUGGGCGAGCUGAAUAUGCUCAGGCGCUUGAGAGAACUCAGGAGAAGGAACUCGGCAAAUUGACACCGUAACUUCGGGAUAAGGUGUGCCUUUGUAGUGUGAAGAGAGAAACACUCCGAGCAUGAAGAGGCCUCAGAGAAUCGGUGGCUGCAACUGUUUACUAAAAACACAGCACUCUGCAAAGAUGAAAGUCGACGUAUAGGGUGUGAUGCCUGCCCGGUGCUGGAAGAUUAAUUGAUGGGGUGCAAGCUCCUGAUCGAAGUCCCAGUAAACGGCGGCCGUAACUAUAACGGUCCUAAGGUAGCGAAAUUCCUUGUC
rnacentral:rRNA from 1 species